GGGUGUCUGUCCCUGGUCCUUGUGUUGUGUCAGCAGCAGCACUCAUCCAGCUGUACAGCUGCACUGGGGACCGGAUCUGCCUCACUGCUGAGGAUGCAUCUCCAUGUGCUGACACAAAGCAUGGAGGACAGACAGGCAAUCAUUAAAAAUUUGACCACCUGCAACUGGAAAGACAUCAAUCAGAUCUCAUUUGGAUUGCCAUCCUUGGGCUUCUCCACUGCAACUCAGAGAGUCCUGGGGCCCCUGUGCCAUUCCUGCUUUGGGGACAUGGGCAGAAAAAAGGUGGUCUCUCUAUCAGACAGUUGGAUGAUGGCAGCACCCAACUUCAGCUGGAAGUGCUCAAACCCCGCAGCAAUGAGACUAAUAUUAAAAACCCUGAUAGUAUCAGGCACCACACUCCAUUAUAUCACGACUGCAUUUCCAUCUUCAUGCUCAGUCUUCUUAAAAAAGCUUGUGGAGAGCAGGGGCUCAUGACAGCUGGAAAGCCUACAUGCCACAGAGAGCCAAAGAUAUCUGACUGUGCAUAAUGGUGCUACCCAUAAGCUUGGCAUAGGUUUUGAUGAUGAAGUGCAAGGUAAGCCCACCCAAAGUGAUUCAUAUGAAUUGUUGGUCUGGAGAUCUAAAACCACAGAUCUCCCUCUUCUUGCUGGAGAAGAUUUUCUAGACAUACAUGCCU